rnacentral:rRNA from 1 species
CCUACGGGAGGCAGCAGUGGGGAAUAUUGCACAAUGGGGGGAACCCUGAUGCAGCGACGCCGCGUGAGCGAUGAAGUAUUUCGGUAUGUAAAGCUCUAUCAGCAGGGAAGAAAAUGACGGUAACUGACUAAGAAGCCCCGGCUAACUACGUGCCAGCAGCCGCGGUAAUACGUAGGGGGCAAAGGUUAUCCUGAUUUACUGGGGGGAAAGGGAGCGUAGGCGGUUGUGCAAGGCUGGAGUUAAAGGCAUGGGCUUAACCUGUUGACUGCUUUUGAAACUGUGCGGCUUGAGUGUCGGAGAGGCAAGUGGAAUUCCUAGUGUAGCGGUGAAAUGCGUAGAUAUUAGGAGGAACACCAGUGGCGAAGGCGGCUUGCUGGACGAUGACUGACGUUGAGGCUCGAAAGCGUGGGGAGCAAACAGGAUUAGAUACCCUUGUAGUC